GCUAAUAAUGCCUUGCUACUGAGUGGUAGAGCUUUAAAAAUGUAGUAGCAAAGCGUUCAGUUUGUGUCGUGAGGUGGUCGCGGUUUCUAUCUCUGAGUGGGAAGGAAUUAUGGAAGUUGACGUGCAGUUGUUGUAUGCAAGAAGGCUCAACGGCAGAUAAAGAACUGAAUAAGAUGCAAAUACAGUUUCUUAAUAAUGACUGGGCAAGCCUUGUCUACUCUAUCAACAAAUAUGGAUUGGCUCCUCCAAUUUUACAGAUCCAGAUCGUUGAGGCCUGCGGCAGUACCUGAUUGCCUGAUUGGUGAGGCCUGCGACAGUCCCUGAUUGGUGAGGCCUGCGACAGUCCCUGAUUGGUGAGGCCUGCGACAGUCCCUGAUUGGUGAGGCCUGCGACAGUCCCUGAUUGGUGAGGCCUGCGACAGUCCCUGAUUGGUGAGGCCUGCGACAGUCCCUGAUUGGUGAGGCCUGCGACAGUCCCUGAUUGGUGAGGCCUGCGACAGUCCCUGAUUGGUGAGGCCUGCAACACCCCUCCCAAUUGACAGGGUAACCCUGAUUCCUGUUUGCAGGAUAACCCUCUGCAGGAGGCACCUGACAGUUCUCAUGAUAUGGAUGAGCUUCUAUCAAGACAGCAGGCCAACAUGUAGAAGGAUGAGCUGCUAUUGCCUACACUUCAUAAUGGAGACCCGACCAUGGAGAGUACUCCUACCUACUUAGCUGUAUAUGCUAUUCCUGAUAGAGAAACCAUCUGAGACACCAGGGCACCAGAAGAGGAACAGUUUCAACAUGCUGAGCUUGCAAGACUUGUAGCGCUGGAAGUUUUCUGCAGACUGUUGUGCAACCUCAGUUCUCGCCCUCUGCAGUGUGGAUCCCCUAUCUUUUUGCAGUACCUGCCUGGGAAAUGGAAGCUUUUGCAACAAGUCAUCCUUUACAGACUGGCUUCAUGGAAAUUUGUGAGAUGGAUCUGAAACCUUUCAGUUGGGUUAUUUGUUGAAGAAUGGAUUGAGAAUGUCCAUUCCUAAUAGUUUUCUAUAUUGUAACUCUGCCUGAUCCGCACAGUCAGCCACCUGGGACAUGGGCCUCAAUUAGCUGAGUUUAAUUGGAACUUUGCUUUGAUAAUGUUUGGCAUCAUAAUUUCAAUUCAUAAUCCAACAUAUAGAGGGUUGCUCAAAGUUUUUUUUGCCAUAAAGGCAUAACAAUUUAAUUUAAAUCAAUUUGUGACUUUUCCAUUUUUUCACAAAUCAUAUGACCACAUUUUAUUUGGGUAUGGUUUGGGAGUAAGGUGUAGAGAUUGGGGGUGUAAAAUGUUUUUUUCUUUUUGUAGGCAGCUAGGAGGAGCAUCUAGACUUUAAUGGAAUUAGCUAGAUUUGGAAAAAGGGAACUGUUACCCUUUUAUUAAAAAGGGGUAUUUUUCAAAAUAGAUGUCCUUGUAGAUUCUGCCAUUUUUUCUUAUCUGUACUGCUUAUACUGUUAGCAGGAGGCUUGAUUUGGAAUGGUUAAUAUGGUGGUUGCAGUACUUCAAUUUACGUUAUUAAACUUGUCUUUGUGAACCUUCUGUCCCUGCUACAUAGGGAAUUAAUGUUACAUCAAAUAAGUUGAAGAGAUAUGUUAAUAAAAACGUAUGUGCUUAAUUAAUGGUAUUUUCAGUUGACCUAUAAGGAGUAAAACUAUCAACUACUGGUAGGUCUGUAAUCAAGGGAUCCCUUUUCCUUCCUUUGUUGAUUUUGCUCCUCUGAUGUAAGCUGACCCUGAGGAAGAGUUUUCACUUUUUUAAAAAAAAAUAAUUGCUGAUAAUUUAACCUUAAUAUUCCCUAAUAAUACAAGGUCCAGUAUUUAUCAUUACUGGUCUGACAGAAUUGUUUAGGAAAAAGAUGGCAACUGUGGAUCCAUUUAAUCCGCUUAAUAUGUCAAGAAGGCUGUUUCACUCCUGGCCCAGUGUAUUCUAGUCUGCCAUAUUUAAAAUCUGGCAGAGUUUCAUGGAAUGAGAGGUAGAAACGAACUAUUUGUCUUACUCUAUUGAUAGGCAACAGGUUAACCAUUACAAGUGCAUACAUCUUGUAUCUUUCUCUCACACCUUUGAGUUAUAAUGUGUAGGGCACAGCAGUUUGAAUUCCAGCGUAGUCUCAUGUUUAAACUGAUAGCUUUUAAGUUCUUUUUUACAGACAUAUGUUUGUGUAUCUUAUUGUCUGUCCUGUUCUAGGAUUACUAAGGUUUGUGAGUGGCCUUUACUGUAAAUAAUUUUCUCCUGCCAGUUUACAUAAGUGAUGUAUUGUACGGCACAAGAAUGGCUCAUUGAUUUGGGAAGAGUAAAACAGAGCUUUGUCAAUUUCUUUAUAAGGUUUAUUUGCAGACGUAAUACUUAUUGCUAAGUAAUCUGUGGCAUCUUUAGAUCCUGGCACAGAUCUUUAUCUAUUGCGUUUGCAAUAUUUUUUUGCUUGUCCAACCAUUAUCUGUGCUGAUGUCUCUGUGUGAAUAUAUUUUUUUAGCAUGUCUGUAAUGCUUUGGUUUCAAACCUCAAUAAAAAAAUAUAUAUAACCAUA